GCCAAGUGGUUGGCCAGAAAGUAGAAUCAAUAUUUAACCGCGUCCUGCGUUUGAGGAGCAGCUGUUGACAGACGGCCAAAUGUGGAUGCCCCAUGUUGAGACAGAGACGGGCAGAGAAUUGGAGAGAGAGAUGGGCAUAGAAGGCGGGAAAGAGAUAGUGAAACUUCUGACAGUUUUAAGUUUGACUGGGGGACUCUUCUGCUGGAGUCGGAAUAUAUGUGUUGGCAACUUGUGACACAAAGGCGCCUUCUCCAUCUACAUCUUCAACUUCAAUGCCUUUUCACCCCCUGAGUUUUCCCUCUUUUCCUGGCUUUUCCUUACGUAUGCAACUAUGCGCUGACUUGACUUGUCCAACUCCUCUUUUUCCUCUUUUUUCCUACCCAACCUCUCGGCGACCUUCACACAAAACUUGAGCAGCACGUAAGCAUUUUCCAACCCCCCAGAAAGAGUUCUCCCUCCCAUUUACCACUGCCCCCCCCCCCUGCAUUUGUACAUACAUCAAAAAUUUUGUUAUGUCUUUGUAAGAAUUUUGCUUAAAUUUUGCUUUUACUUUUCGUUGACUUCUGCUGCUGAAAAGGUCAGACAUUGUCAGUUAAGUGUCCAUGUCCAAAUCGAAAAAGUGUUGUCCAAGAUUUCGAGUGCUUUUCACAAUUUUUUAGAGCUCCUUCCAAUUUUGUGGCCCUGCCUUGUCUUCUGGCUCUUAUUGAACGCCUUUCGGUUAGGUGUCAAUGUGCGAAGCAGAAUUAUGGCAAAUGGUAUUGGAAAACUUUGCCAGCUCCCGUCGUAAAUGGAUAUUACAAUUCGGUUCGACUAUGGGAAGAAAAGGGCGGAAGCUGUGGACGAAGGUAGUGCAAUAUGUGUAUGAAAAUUGUAUAAACACGUACUUGUAAGGAGGAAAGUUAUAUCCAUCGCUGAAAAUUAGAAUAAUGUAGCUUAAGUAUUGCAUUCCAAAUUUAGUAAUUAAGGAGCUCAUAUUUAUUGUGGCCACUUUCCUUUCGGUUUUAAAAUGGUGAUCAUUUUCAGAGCGAACUCCCUUCGAUUAACUUGCCAUCGUCUGCCUUAUCGGAAAUCCAAAACACAGACCAAAACCACCGUGACAUAAAUCACAAAAUCAACAACUAGCGCAAAACGGUAUAAAAAUCAAGUUAUGGGGGCCAGCAAUAUAGAUUUUGAUUUAUUGGCUGCUGGCGUGACUCUCUAUCUGAACAACCUACCACAUCCACAUGCCAAAUAGGUGGGGCAGAAUGUGGGGGCCCUACCAAACCCCCUAAGUAGACAGCUCAAAGGCCUAAACGUGGCGAGACCAACAAGAAGAACAUGCGAAAACAAAAACAUACAGAGUGGAACCAAAAGCGAGGCCAGCCAAACAAUGGCGAGCAUUUUGAUUUGUGACUUGCGACUUUUCACGUAGCGCUCUCAUGCCCACACACACGCACCGGGAAAAUCUCCAUAAAAAAUAUGAAAAUAAAAAUCACGCAACAGGAUAUUGAAACGUCACACAUAUGCCACAAGUGCGAGAAGAAAGGGGGAGUGCGCUGGGUGGAAAAGGACUUCAUUCGGCAUUAAAACUGUCAGUGGCGCAGAUUGCCUGCGGUGGCUAAGGACACCUUCGCACAUGAUUUAUUUGCAGCUGCAUUUCGAUUUGGGAAAUGUGUGUGAGUGCGUGUGUGUGUGCUGGAAAGUGAAAUGGCGAAAAAAACUGCGCAAAUUUCCCGUAAACAGUUGCAGUUUUCUUCGCCUUAUUUCGAUCCCCCCAGCGAGCACGUGCCUCCGCAGAGUGGGCGAGGUCCUGGGUCCUGCGUCCUGCGUCCUGGUUGUCCUGGCCAAUUGUCAGCCAGACGGCAAAAAGGCAGGACUGAUUGGAACUUUGAGCCUGCAGCUUCUGGCUGAGCGGACGUGCAGCGAAAGUUUAAAUAAACACGACCAACAGUGCGAAUCGGGGGGCAUUUCCCAAACGGAGUGGUAAAACAAAUUAAAGUUGCGCGAAAUGUCAGGCGAUUGCUUGAAGAGCAAACGCAACUUGAACUCGACAGGAUGCUGAGGAAACUAUAGUCGAUAAGAAAAGUUUUUGUGAUUUUAGCUUAUCAGAUGAGUGUUGCGAACAGGUAUCUAGAAACAUUGUACACUAAAGUCUCUCUAUAUGGCACACUUCUUUAAGGUCCUGCCAUAGUUCGCUUGUGCAGGGAGUAAACAAAACAAUGUCCUGCCCCCAAUUUUGCUCUACCCCCUCAGAACUCGUCGUGUGUGCCUAGCCUGAAAGCAUAUCCAUUUCACGCCCAAGUGCCGUGCCUUCCUUGGAACCGUGUGUCAAAUCCAUUAACCUUCUGUUUACUUUUCUACGUCCAGCAGCCGUAGCAGGGAAAAAAUCAAAAGGAGCGAUGCUGUAGUGAAAGUGUUUUGUGGGAGAAAUUUGAUACUCUCGCCAAAUUGCGUUGCACACUUGAGGUUCUUGGAGCUCAGAAACGACUUCUUCCCCACGCCCCCAUAAAUCUUACCUAGGCGUGCGAGAAAUGGAGCGGGAAAUAACCUCACAGGACCACCCAUUCGCACACAUAUCCUUGCAGCAGUCGAGCAACGGCUGCUCAGAAAUGAGUAUUAAGUUGACGUAAAUUGCGGUCCAUUACAUUAACCAGAAGAAGGGACUCUGGAAUUGGGAACUGAAGGUGGGGGCUGCCAAUUAACCUCGUGUCUCUGUUAAUUGCUUUUGUAGUUUCGCUUACAAUUGAACAAACAUCGAUGUUUUAUUUAUGGGAAAAAAGGAAUAGGGAAAAGUUAUACCUAAUAGAAGUAUAGAAUGUUUUACCACGCACUUAUAAAUGCAUAUUAAUUUCUGGUCUAAUGAUUCCCAUAUUCAAUUAUCUUAAUACAAAGACUAUGCUGACUGAACCCAUUUGUUUUAAUCCUUUUACAGAUCGUUGAGCCUUCUCAUAUAUCACGUGUUUUCCUCGUCUUAGCUUACCUUCUUGUCCGCAGAUGAAUAUCUUAGCAGCUCCGCCUGGAAAAUACGGUCUAAUGGAAUUAAAAAACAUAAAUCCGCAUCUGUAUCUCGCGAUAAAAGAAAAACUCAGCGCGGGCAUUAAGCAAAUGAAAACCGCAUUGGGGGAAAAACAAAGGAAAAGGCAAGGAAAACGUAAAUGAUUUAAGAACUUUAUCGGACAUCAGCGACCAGAAGGAAAAAAAGUGGUCAAAAAACAAAAAACAUGGCGCUCGGAGGAUGGAGUGCAAAGGACACUUGCCAGGAGCUUAAAUAGAACGCUUGUAGGUGAUUAUGCAGCACAUAAUUUAUGCAGGCAACCAGGACUCAGGACAACAGAACAAUGACCAUGCUGUUGGAGUAGGGGGAAGUGGAGCUGGCGAAACUGAUUUAAUUAAGCAGGUGAUUAAAGUUGAUGCCGGUUAUUUGUAGCAGCCAAGAGAGCAACAAGGAUGGUCCGCAUCGCAUCCUGUUGCU
ensembl:ncRNA lncRNA:CR45571 long non-coding RNA:CR45571